rnacentral:lncRNA from 1 species
UGAGCGGUUCGGAUUCUUCGAAGCAACGACAUAAAGGAAUUUAGUUAGAGUUUCUAUACUUCUCUAAUUUGGUCUUCUCGGUUUUACGAAAAGCUUUUUCGGUAUUUUCUUGGAGUUUUCGUUGGAACAAGAAAGGUGGGAUUCACCAUAAGGUUCUUGGUUUUUUAUCCGGAGAAGACAUAAGGUGUAAGCUUGUACUUCUAUUUCUUCAUAUAGUGGAAUACAUCUCUCUCGCUCUCCCCGUGGACGUAGGCAAUUGCCGAACCACGUAAAUCUUGGUUUCUUCUUUCUGCAUUUAUUUCUUUUACCGUUCGGUCGAUUUUCUCUAUUUUUCGUG